AGUGAACGCUGGCGGUAGGCCUAACGCAUGCAAGUCGAACGGCAGCACAGGAGAGCUUGCUCUCUGGGUGGCGAGCGGCGGACGGGUGAGGAAUACAUCGGAAUCUACUUUUUCGUGGGGGAUAACGUAGGGAAACUUACGCUAAUACCGCAUACGACCUACGGGUGAAAGCAGGGGACCUUCGGGCCUUGCGCGAUUGAAUGAGCCGAUGUCGGAUUAGCUAGUUGGCGGGGUAAAGGCCCACCAAGGCGACGAUCCGUAGCUGGUCUGAGAGGAUGAUCAGCCACACUGGAACUGAGACACGGUCCAGACUCCUACGGGAGGCAGCAGUGGGGAAUAUUGGACAAUGGGCGCAAGCCUGAUUCAGCCAUACCGCGUGGGUGAAGAAGGCCUUCGGGUUGUAAAGCCCUUUUGUUGGGAAAGAAAUCCAGCUGGCUAAUACCCGGUUGGGAUGACGGUACCCAAAGAAUAAGCACCGGCUAACUUCGUGCCAGCCGCCGCCGUAA
rnacentral:rRNA from 1 species